ACCUCCGUGGCUCAGUUGGUCAAAGCGGCAGGAUCGGUAACCCAGUUGGUCGCAGGUUCGAGUCCUGCCGGAGGUG